rnacentral:rRNA from 1 species
AUUGAGCGCUGGCGGCAGGCCUAACACAUGCAAGUCGAGCGGAUGAAGGUAGCUUGCUACCUGAUUCAGCGGCGGACGGGUGAGUAAUGCCUAGGAAUCUGCCUGGUAGUGGGGGACAACGUUUCGAAAGGAACGCUAAUACCGCAUACGUCCUACGGGAGAAAGUGGGGGAUCUUCGGACCUCACGCUAUCAGAUGAGCCUAGGUACGAUUAGCUAGUUGGUGAGGUAAAGGCUCACCAAGGCGACGAUCGUUAACUGGUCUGAGAGGAUGAUCAGUCACACUGGAACUGAGACACGGUCCAGACUCCUACGGGAGGCAGCAGUUGGGAAUAUUGGACAAUGGGCGAAAGCCUGAUCCAGCCAUGCCGCGUGUGUGAAGAAGGUCUUCGGAUUGUAAAGCACUUUAAGUUGGGAGGAAGGGCAGUAAGUUAAUACCUUGCUGUUUUGACGUUACCGACAGAAUAAGCACCGGCUAACUUCGUGCCAGCCGCCGCCGUAA